CUGGUUUUAGGUUGUCCUCCUUGGCCCGUGAACACCAGCUGUAAACAAAACAACUCUAGUUGAGCAUUCUGAUGUUGCUAUGACUACUUUUGGUGUCAUAUCAGUGGAUAUAAAUGAUGUCAUAAACGGUUUUGUGUUGUGCAGGGAAAGUCAAUGCUACAGUGUCAAGCAUGCAAAAUGUGCAUUCUAUUAACAGUCACUCACCCAAUCAAUGUGCAAUGAAUGAUAUCAAUGUAGCAUUGAUUGAUAGAUUCCUAAAUGUAUCCCAAGUACUGAUUUCAUAUCAAACAAGAGUUUUUUUUUUUCGUUUUGUUUUUUUACUACUGUAGUAGUGUUUCACAUUCAUCUAAAUAAAUACCGGUUCUUACAUUUAUACUGGGAAUAGACUAUACCUUUAAAUACUCUGCCAGAAUAUAAUGUGACCCUACAAUUGUGCCAUCCAAGAAACUCCCCACCAGAUAUACAUUAACAUUAAUAUGAGGCCAAAACCUAUAAAAUGUACCUAAAGAAACACUUUAACAUUUAGGAGUCAAACAUUUUUCUCACUAUCUAGAUUUAUCCCCAUCCCCCCUACCCUAAAAAAAACUUUAAAUUUAAAAAGAAAUAAGAUUGUCUUAGCUUUAGUUCCAUAAUGUGACGGUUUCUGUUUUCACCGCGGAUGCCAAUUCUCUACGGCUAAAGUUAUCUUUACAGAUGAAGCAAUCAAAUGCUUCUCCAUUAAGCUGUAGUGGUCCUGGUGCUUACAGUGUCCCUUUAAAUUGGUUUGUUGCCCUACGUGUGCCUGGAACGUUCUUUCCAGAGUCGUACUGUUGUUUGUGCGUCAACAAAUUUAGUGAUGUAUUUCCGUCCAUUUAAAGCUGUAGUGGAGUCCUUUAUUUUGCGAGAUUUUCUUUGGCUGUGGUUCUGGUGGCUCCUUCUGGUAUUGCUGAUCCAUUUGUCAUUUAUUUCCUCACAUCCUGGCUUUUAUUUUUUCUCCUUUUUCUCUUCAGUUGUCCAGUUGUUUGGAUAUGAAAUCUCCAUUCCAUUCACCAAAAUGUAUCCCU